rnacentral:lncRNA from 1 species
ACUGCACUCCAGCCUGGGGAACAGAGUGAGACUACGUCUCAAAAAAAUUAACUGGCAUGGUGGCAGCCACCUGUAAUCCCAGCUACUACGGAGGCUGAGGCAGGGAGAUUGCUUGAACCCAGGAGGCGGAGGUUGCAGUGAGCCAAGAUUGUGCCACUGCACUUCAGCCUGGGUGAGAGAGCAAGACACUGUCUCAAAAAAAAAAAGACCCUCUUCCUCCACAUUUCUCUCCUCUCUUCCUCCCUCUUCCCUUUCCUUGGAGAUGGCAACGUGGCUGGAAGCUGAGGAGGCAGCUGGUGUGGAUAAAAAAUCAAGCAAAUACAUUGAGGAUAAUGGGAGCCAGGUUUCUCACUGCUGGAGAUGAGAAUUACAAAUAUGGAAAGAGGAAAGGCUGAAAAGAGCCCCGAGGCACUGGAGAUGUCAGUGUGGGCUCUUCAUACGUGUGUAUAUAAAGAUGUGGGAGCCAGCCUGAAGGGGCUCCCAUUGGCCAAGUCUGGGACAAUCGGAGCAUCCAAAUAAAAAUGACCAGAUGGCCAGGUGCAGUGGCCCACACCUGUGCUCCCAGUACUUUGGGAGGCCAAGACAGGAGGAUCGCUUGAGCCAGGAGUUCAAGACCAGCCUGGGCAACAUAGGGAUAUCCUGUCUCUACAAGAAAUACUUUUUAAAAAAUUAGACGGGUGUGGUGGCAUGUGCUUGUAGUCCCAGUUACUCAGGAGGCUGAGGCACGAAAAUCACCAGACCCCAGGAGAUAGAGGUUGCAAUAGAGCAAGACUCUGUCUCAAAAAACAAAAAAAAAAGAGAGAGAGACUACAAACUACUGCAUAAUAUAGGCGUCCAUGAUUCUGUGCUGACUGAAGAGAAGGGAAGGCUCUUCCUUACAGGACAGUGCCAACCCAUGAAUGGAGAGGGGUGAUGAAAAUAGAGAAAGCACCACUUGGUAAGUAUCAUUCUGAUAAGCUGAUUCAAGCAGGAGGGUUACAGACCUAGGGAGGCUAAGGCUGGUGGGUGGAGAGUGGAUGAGGUACAGAAUAUUGCAAAAUAUGGCUGGGCGCAGUGUGGCUCAGGCCUGUAAUCUCAGCACUUUGGGAGGCCGAGGUGGGCGAAUCACUUGAGGUUAGGAGUUCGAGAUCAGUCUGGCCAACAUGGUAAAACCCCGUCUCUACUAAAAACACAAAAAUUAGCCAGGUGUGGUGAUAGUUGCCUGUAAUCCCAGCUACUUGGUAGGCUGAGUUAGGAGAAUCACUUGAACCCGGAAGGCAGAGGUUGCAGUGAGCCGAGAUCGUGCCACCGCACUCCAGCCUGGGUGACAAGAGCGAGACUCCGUCUCAAAAAAAAAAGGAAAAAAAAAAAUCUCCCAGCCGGGCGCAGUGGCUCACUCCUGUAAAUCCCAGCACUUUGGGAGGCUGAGAUGGGUUGAUCGCGAGGGCAGGAGAUGGAGACCAUCCUGGCCAACAUGGUGAAACCCCAUCUCCACUAAAAAUACAAAAAUUAGCUGGGCAUGGUGGCGCGUGCCUGUAAUCCCAGCUACUCGGGAGGCUGAGGCAGGAGAAUCGCUUGAACCAGGGAGUCAGAGGUUGCGGUGAGCCGAGAUCGCGCCACUGCACUCCAGCCUGGCAACAGAGUGAGACUCUGUCUCAAAAAAAAAAAAAAAAAAAAAACUCUCCCACCACACACAGGUCUCCUGCCACACCCCCAUCAGGAGGACAGUCUAGUUUCCCUCACCUUGAAUCUGAGCAGACGGCAAGGACUUGGCCAUAACCAAUACAGCAUGGCAGGAGUGACACUGUGUGACUUCAAGGCCAGGAGCCAUCAGGGAAAUGGAUGCCCCAUCCACCAGCCAUGGGAGCCGCUUCUGGCAGUUGAAGUCACUUCAGUGGAGGGCCAGGCAUCAUGGAGCAGAGAGAAGCUGGACCUGCUGUGUCCUGCCUGAAGUCCUAGCCCACAGAGCUCACAGGCACAAUAAAAUGGUUUUGGUAAUGUUGCUAAAUUUGGGAGUAGUUAAUUAGGCAAAAAUAGGCAACUGGAGUAUUGGUAUAGUCUCCAAUAUCUCUCCACAAAAUACUUAUCCAAUGCAAAGGAGACAAGGAGAGCUGCAUGGUGGAGAGACCUGGUGGACACCGACUUCGCUGUGUAACCAAAGUCACCAUGAUGCCCAAGUCAUCGUCGUGUGCCUCCUGACACGAAUCAAUGGGGAAACAUGGCAUUGUUUCUGCAGGAUUACAACCAACAACGCGGGGCCGGGGCGAGUCAUGAGGACACACUGAACAGACCCAGACUGAGACAGGGCCGACUCAUCCAGGAGAUUUUUACAGGCACACAAAACAUGCUUUAGUUGUUUUUGGUUUGGGAUUUUUUUUUUUUUUUUUUUGAGAUGGAGUCUCACUGUGUCACCCAGGCUGGAGUGCAGUGGCGCGAUCUCAGCUUACUGCAAUCUCCGCCUCUGGGGUUCAAGUAAUUCUCAUGCCUCAGCCUCCCAAGUAGCUGGGAUUACAGGCAUGUGCCACUAUGCCCAGCUAAUUUUUGUAUUUUUAGUAGAGAUGGGGUUUCACCAUAUUGGCCAGGCUGGUUUCAAACUCCUAACCUCAAGUGAUCCACCCACCUCGGCCUCCCAAAGGGCUGGGAUUACAGGCAUAAGCCACUGCGCCCGGCUGCUUUGGUUUUAAUUUAUUUUGAAAUCAGAAAAAAAAGCAUAACAAUAAUGAAUCCAACCUUGAUUAUAUUUAUCUUCAUACCAAUGCAAUAUGAAACGUAUUGAAAUUUUUUCUUUUUUUCGUGUGUGUGUGUGUGUGUGUGUGUGUGAAAGAAGGGACUGAAAAGUGCAAAAAUGCAUACAGCCUACAGCCAUAAUGCAUCCCUGGGUUGGGGACAUCCUGCAGAAUAAAAUAUGCUAGGGAAGGUGGAGUCAGCACACUUCUCUGUGUCUCUCCCUUUGAAUGCAGCUAGAAAACCUGGACAGCUGCAAGGGCAUCCCGCUAAGAACUUGAAACGGCAAAUGAUAUGGGCACAGUGAGGAAGAAUACUGAAUUCUAAGUGCUACUGACCUGGUAGUGAGUUCCCCCCAACUUGUUUCCUUCAGUCCAGACUUAAUGCAGCCUGGAACCCGAAGUAUGUAUCGCUGUGGACCGAGAGAGCUUCAGGAGAAACCCACUACCUCUGGCUAGAGGGGUGAGGAAGGAGCCUCCUAACAUGCAGAGCAAAUAGGGAAAUAGCCCAUUUGUCUUUUUUCCUUUUCCCCCCCAGUAUUUCUUGUACCAUCCUGUAGGCAACUUUGUGUUGGUGGCAGCCACAGUGAUAGCAGUGGCACUGGGGGAGUUCGGGAGCCUAAACUUCUGAAAGAAGGAAACCUCAUCUUUGAUCAGAAGAGAUGUGAUUCCCAAUAGGGCAGGGCUUUUUUCUCUGCCCUCCACUGCUUGGCUCCCAGUAUGGAUCUAGUCAUGGGAAGUAUGUGGCGAAAUUGAGGAAAUAAAGCCACACCUUUCUGGACAGAGGACUGGAAGAGGGAACCCCAACAAACUGGAAAGGACUAGGAGGAUUGAAAGUUGUUUAUGAAUUCCUAGACUCACCCCAAAGAUGUGUAUGUAUGGAGCUGACUCUAAACCAGGCUGGGCACAGAGGCUCACUCCUGUAAUCGCAGCACUUUGGGAGGCCGAGAUGAGCAGAUUGCUUGAGCUCAGGAGUUCAAGACCAGCCUGGGCAACAUGGUGAAACCCCGUCUCUACAAAAAACAAAAAACUUAGCUGAGCAUGAUGCACGUGCCUGUAGUUCCAGCUACUCGGGAGGUGAAGGUGGGAGGAUCGCUUGAGCCCGGGAGGCAGAGGUUGCAGUGAUCUGAGAUUGCGCCACUGCACUCCAGCCCGGGUGACAGAGUGAGACACCUUCUCAAAUAAACAGCAUACCAUAGGCUUUGAGAACUGAAGUAUGGGACUGACCCCUGGGUGGUGCCCCAGGGGAUAGAGCUGAAUAGCACAACAUAGGCUUUGAAAACACAACUGAUAUUGAAACCAUAACCCACAGAGGAGUGGUCAAAUCUUGCAGCGUGAAACCAACCCAGUCAAUUGCCUGCUUAAACAAAAAUUUCCACAUUCUCAUAGGAUUUAAACAGAACCCAGAAUCCCAUGAUAUAAUAUUUUAAGUGUCCAGGAUGAAAUCUGCUAUAGACUGUUUGUGUCCCCUCAAAAUUCAUAUGUUAGGCCGGGUGCGGUGGCUCACGCCUGUAAUCCCAGCACUUUGGGAGGCCGAGGCGGGCGGAUCACAACGUCAGGAGAUUGAGACCAUCCUGGCUAACACGGUGAAACCUCGUCUCUAUUAAAAUACAAAAAAUUAGCCGGGUGUGGUGGCAGGCACCUGUAGUCCCAGCUACUUGGGAGGCUGAGGCAGGAGAAUGGCGUGAACCCAGGAGGCGGAACUUGCAGUGAGCUGAGAUUGCACCACUGCACCCCAGCCUGGGUGACAGAGCAAGACUCUGUCUCAAAAAAAAAAAAAAUUUAUAUGCUGAAACCUAAUCUACAGUGUGAGGGCAUGGAGGUGGAGCCUUUGGGAAGUGAUUAGAUCAUGAAGAUAGAUCCCUCAUGAAUGGGAUUAGUGCUCUUAUAAAAGACACCCCAGCCGGGCACAGUGGUUCAUGCCUGUAAUCCUUGCACUUUGGGAGGCUGAGGUGGGUGGAUCACCGGAGGUCAGGAGUUUGAGACCAGCCUAGCCAACAUAGUGUAACCCUGAAUCUACUAAAAAUACAAAAAAUUAGCUGGGCAUGGUGGCAUGCACCUAUAGUCCCAGCUACUCGGGAGGCUGAGGCAGAAUUGCUUGAACCCGGGCGGCGGAGGUUGCAGUGAGCUGAGAUUGUACCACUGCUCUCCAGCCUGGGCGACAGAGCAAGACUCUGUCUCAAUAAAUAAAUAAAUAAAUAAAUAAAUAAAUAAAUAAAUAUAAAAAAGACACCCCAGAGAACUACCUCACAAUUCCUGCUAUGUGAGGACACAGCAAGAAGACAGCCGUCUACAAACCAGGAAACAGGCAUGCAUCAGACACUAAAGCUUCCAGCACCUUGAUCUUGGACUUACAACCUCCAAACUGUGAGAAAUAACUUUCUGUUGUUUAUAAGCCACCCAGCCUAUGAUAUUUUUGUUACAGCAGCCCAAACAGAACAAGACAUAAUCCAAUACAUGUGUAACAAUGAGAACGUAUUCUUUUUUUUUUUUUUUUUUUUGGAGAUGGAGUUUCGCUCUUGUUGUCCAGGCCGGAGUGCAGUGGUGCAAUAUCGGCUCACCGCAACCUCUGCCUCCUGGGUUCAAGCGAUUCUCCUGCCUCAGCCUCCCGAGUAGCUGGGAUUACAGGCAUGCGCCACCAAGACUGGCUAAUUUUGUAUUUUUUAGUAGAGAC